GACGAACGCUGGCGGCGUGCUUAACACAUGCAAGUCGAACGAUGAUGCUGGAGCUUGCUCCAGUUGAUUAGUGGCGAACGGGUGAGUAACACGUGAGCAAUCUGCCCUUGACUCUGGGAUAACUGCGGGAAACUGUAGCUAAUACCGGAUACUUUCACCGGAAGGCAUCUUCUGGUGAUGAAAGAAUUUCGGUCAGGGAUGAGCUCGCGGCCUAUCAGCUUGUUGGUGAGGUAACGGCUCACCAAGGCGACGACGGGUAGCCGGCCUGAGAGGCUGACCGGCCACACUGGGACUGAGACACGGCCCAGACUCCUACGGGAGGCAGCAGUGGGGAAUAUUGCACGAUGGGCGCAAGCCUGAUGCAGCAACGCCGCGUGAGGGAUGAAGGCCUUCGGGUUGUAAACCUCUUUUAGCAGGGAAGAAGCGAAAGUGACGGUACCUGCAGAAAAAGCACCGGCUAACUACGUGCCAGCCGCCGCCGUAA
rnacentral:rRNA from 1 species